rnacentral:rRNA from 1 species
GACUACUCGGGUAUCUAAGCCUGUUCGCUACCCACGCUUUCGUGCCUCAGCGUCAAUAUUGGCAUAGCAAGCUGCCUUCGCAAUCGGUGUUCUGUAACAUAUCUAUGCAUUUCACCGCUACAUGUUACAUUCCGCCUACCUCUACCAAAUUCAAGACUAACAGUAUCAAUGGCAGUUCCGGAGUUAAGCUCCGAGCUUUCACCACUGACUUAUAAGUCCGCCUACGCACCCUUUAAACCCAGUAAAUCCGGAUAACGCUUGCACCCUCCGUAUUACCGCGGCUGCUGGCACGGAGUUAGCCGGUGCUUAUUCCUCUGGUACCGUCAUGUUCCGACAAGUCGGAAUGGUUCUUCCCAGAUAAAAGGAGUUUACAACCCAGAGGGCCUUAAUCCUCCACGCGGCAUGGCUGGAUCAGGCUUCCGCCCAUUGUCCAAUAUUCCCCACUGCUGCCCCCCGUAGG